CCUACGGGAGGCAGCAGUAGGGAAUCUUUCACAAUGGGCGAAAGCCUGAUGGAGCAACGCCGCGUGCAGGAUGAAGGCCCUCGGGUUGUAAACUGCCUUUAUAAGCGAGAAAUAUGAUGGUAACUUAUGAAUAAGGAUCGGCUAACUACGUGCCAGCAGCCGCGGUCAUACGUAGGAUCCGCGCUUUAUCCGGAGUGGCUGGGGGUAAAGAGUUGCGUAGGUGGCAUAAUAAGUAGCUAGUGAAAUCUGGUGGCUCAACCAUUCAGACUAUUAGCAAAACUGGUAGGCUCGAGAACGUUAGAGGUAACUGGAAUUUGUGGUGUAGGAGUGAAAUCCGUAGAUAUUAGAAAGAACACCGAUAGCGUAGGCAGGUUACUGGGACGGUUCUGACACUGAGGCACGAAAGCGUAGGGAGCAAACGGGAUUAGAUACCCCAGUAGUC
rnacentral:rRNA from 1 species